CUAAGAUGCAAUUUAGAGGAAAUUACAACUUUUGGCCCAAAGGUUUGAAUAAUUAAAUUCGAACCUAUAGUUUUUUUUUAAUAUAAUUUUGGGACCACAAUCCCAUUUUUAUAUUAUUUUUCUCUCUUCCUCUCAUGUUGCUCGGCGUUUUUCUCGCAAGGGGGGAUUAUUUUCUUUUUCUUCAGAUUAUAUUGACAAAGAUAGUGGUGAAAAAGGAGUUGUGAAGGGGAACUUGUUAUUCAAGACACAAGGAGCGAGUCCGG